AAUAUUCAUUCCUUGCAUCAUAUCUACCCAUCACCCACCGAAACUUCUCAAUUAGGGGUGCCCCAAAUAGCUUGAGCCCCUUUCUGCCUCUUGUUCUCCGUGUAUCCGUCUUUCCUUUGUAAGCCCCUUGCCCAUGACUGUUAUUGAGCCAGUAUGACAGUACUGGUUGUUAAAAUAUUGAAAUACUUCUGUAUUAGUUGAGAAAUAGCCUCUUCUCUAAGCCUCCAGAUACGUGUCCUCCGCUCCCCACAAUCCAGCAACUAUAGGGUUAACACCCACCACAGCUGGGGACUUCAGGACCCUGCUCCCCCAGCCCCCACUGGUCAGUGGUUGCCUAUUGAGAAUCACCCAUGCUUCUGCUCCUUUGCAGAGCAAUCCACUGCCUCCCUUGGGUCUCCUCCUCAUUUACCUCCCUCCUUUCUUUUUGUUCCUUCUCCCCAGAUGUGGUGAACAAUUCCUCUCCGGCACUGGGAGGCACCUUCCCGCCAGCCCCCUGGUGGCCGCCUGGCCCACCUCCCACCAACUUCAGCAGCUUGGAGCUGGAGCCCAGAGGCCAGCA
rnacentral:sRNA from 1 species